CUGUGGCCCGUUCAGUUUGGGCACGACGGCUUUAGCAUCUCCCUCGCCCGAAGAAAACCAAGAUCAGGCUCCUUUGGUGCUCACGGUCUCCGCUCCGUUCGAAUUGGUAGAAAGAGAAGAGAAGACGACGAAGAAGAAGAUGCAGCAGCUCUCCACGCGACCGGUACGCUAGUUUAAAUGGUCCUGUGGAUGUUAGGAUUCCUAAUAGCACGAUGACUUCAGUAAUUGAUGCUGAUGGUGGCAAUAUCCAUGAUAUUCAUCAGAUUCACCGCUGUCUCAAGCACUCUAUCCUUAGUCCUACUUGGAAUCGGUGGUUUAAGUGUUCCUUGAUGGUUAAAUACUAUGCGGACAUUGUUGCUGGGUUUGUCGGAUCAUUUGCUGUCUAUUUCAGAAUUGUUGAACUAAUUGAUAUACGGUUCCCAGCUAUUCACGGAUGGUGCCUUUGUAAGCUGUGAAGCCUGUACAUUUCAGUAUUUAGAGUUCAUGCGACAGGUAUAAUCAACUCCAGUUUCGAGUGCAUCAUAUUAUGCUUUGUUCUUUGCAAACUUCAGCAUUAUAGUUUAUUCUUUGCUUUUCUUAUUUUUUCCUUGAUCCGUCGAAUUCUGUAUCAGCUUGCUGAUGAAUCUCUGGUUUAUUGGUGAUCUUUAAGCUCUGGCAUUCUUAUCAAUCAAUUGAAAUUGCCAUUUUUCUUAAUUUGAAGUGACGUUAAUAUACAGUAACCCACAUGCAUACGAUACUGCCGCCGUUUCACAUUCUCGUUCCAGCUUUCAACCCAAAGAUCAGAAAACUAGAACGUAAUCAGUGAGUUAAAAGAUGCACAACAAUUGCAUCCUUUACCAGCUUUAUUUCGGGUUUUGCUGCGUGUGGACUGAGUUUACCUUUGUAUGCAAGGAAUGUUUCUACCUGAACCGGGAUUUUGCUGUAGCAAAGCACACAUAUUACAUGCCUGACUCCGCGUGGUAAAGGACCAAUUUGUCGAGACAGUUAUCGUGCAUUGCUCUUGGAUUGCUGCCGUUGGAUCCAGUGAUUAACACAAAGGAUAGUUGGUGCCUUUCACAAUGAUUAAUGUGUAAUUAUAGUCGACAGAGGUUACUUUGAUUAAAGAUGCACAUGAAAUCUGAAGUUGUACAGCAUUUGCUCCACCAAAGAAAGAAACUUUUUUUGAAGUCUGGUAGAA